rnacentral:lncRNA from 1 species
NNNNNNNNNNNNNNNNNNNNNNNNNNNNNNNNCCCCCCCCCCCCCCCCCCCCCCCCCCCCCCCCCCCCCCAUCCCACUACUUGGGGGUGACCACCAGGGUGUAGAAGGUGCCAGGCUGGGGCAAGAAGCCCACAGCGCGGACGGCCCGCUGCGAGGGGGUGUUUUGGGGCAGCACCCCCAAAUAAAUGGGGAAGCCGCGGGCGUGCAGCUGCCGGCCCAGGGCCCCCAGCGUCACCCCGCUCAGCCCCUGGCCGCGCCAGGCGGGCAACGUGUAGCCGUGGCUGAGGCAGCCCAGGGGGUCCACCAGGCUCCAGGAGACGGGGCGGCCGCGGGGUCCCAGGAGGCAGGCGCUGGGCAGGGUCUCCACCAGCUUCAGCAGGAAGCGGCGGCUGCGGGCAUUGCCCCCGAAACCCCAGGUGGCGUUGAGCAGGGGGACGUGGGACAGGGAGACGGGGGACAGGCGGAGUCCCGGGGGCAACCUGCGGGGAGGGGGAGAGAGAGGAGAGAUGGGGUUGGGGGUGGGGGGGGAGGACACGGGGGAACCCACCACACACCCCCUGGAUCCUGGUGGGGACAUCACGGGGGAGCUGCUGCACCAUGGGAUGGGAUGGGAUGGGAUGGGAUGGGAUGGGAUGGAGGGAGGGGAGAGGAUGGAGGGAUGGGAUGGGAUGGGGAUGGGCAUGGGGAUGGAGAUGGAGAUGGAGAUGGAGAUGGGGAUUGGGAUGGGAUGAGGGGAUGGGAUGGGAUUGGAUGGGAUGGGAUGUGCCACCAUGUCACCCAGGGAUGUGCUCGGGGACCCCUCUCCACCCAGGCAUGUGACUGGGAACCCCCUGGGCCACUGGGAGAUGUGUCUGGGGACCCUUGUGCCACCCAGGGACAUGACUGGGGCCCCCCCAUACCACCCAGGGAUGUGCUUGGGGACCCCUUUGCCACCCAGGGAUGUGACUGGGGACCCUUGUGCCACCCAGAGAUUGGACUGGGAUCCCCUGUGCCACCCAGAGCUGUGACUGGGACCCCUGUACCACCGCCAGAGACCCCCUGUACCACCUGGGGCUGUGACUGGGGACCCUUGUGCCACCCAGGGAUGUGCUUGGGGACCCCUGU